rnacentral:rRNA from 1 species
UACGGAGGAUCCAAGCGUUAUCCGGAUUUAUUGGGUUUAAAGGGUGCGUAGGCGGCUUAUUAAGUCAGGGGUGAAAGACGGUGGCUCAACCAUCGCAGUGCCCUUGAUACUGAUGAGCUUGAAUACACUAGAGGUAGGCGGAAUGUGACAAGUAGCGGUGAAAUGCAUAGAUAUGUCACAGAACACCGAUUGCGAAGGCAGCUUACUACGGUGUCAUUGACGCUGAGGCACGAAAGCGUGGGGAUCAAACAGG